UGAGAUGAUGAUAGAUUAUCUAGUUUCCCUAUUGGUUUGAUGGCCGAUAUGAUGGCUAAAAUGUAUUAGCUCUAUCUGAUCUCC